rnacentral:rRNA from 1 species
UUAAGUUAUUAAGGGCGCACGGUGGAUGCCUUGGCACUAGAAGCCGAUGAAGGACGUUACUAACGACGAUAUGCUUUGGGGAGCUGUAAGUAAGCUUUGAUCCAGAGAUUUCCGAAUGGGGAAACCCAGCAUGAGUUAUGUCAUGUUAUCGAUAUGUGAAUACAUAGCAUAUCAGAAGGCACACCCGGAGAACUGAAACAUCUUAGUACCCGGAGGAAGAGAAAGAAAAUUCGAUUCCCUUAGUAGCGGCGAGCGAAACGGGAAGAGCCCAAACCAAAAAGCUUGCUUGUUGGGGUUGUAGGACACUCUAUACGGAGUUACAAAGGACGACAUUAGACGAAUCAUCUGGAAAGAUGAAUCAAAGAAGGUAAUAAUCCUGUAGUCGAAAAUGUUGUCUCUCUUGAGUGGAUCCUGAGUACGACGGAGCACGUGAAAUUCCGUCGGAAUCUGGGAGGACCAUCUCCUAAGGCUAAAUACUCUCUAGUGACCGAUAGUGAACCAGUACCGUGAGGGAAAGGUGAAAAGCACCCCGGAAGGAGAGUGAAAUAGAACCUGAAACCGUGUGCUUACAAGUAGUCAGAGCCCGUUAAUGGGUGAUGGCGUGCCUUUUGUAGAAUGAACCGGCGAGUUACGAUUUGAUGCAAGGUUAAGCAGUAAAUGUGGAGCCGUAGCGAAAGCGAGUCUGAAUAGGGCGUUUAGUAUUUGGUCGUAGACCCGAAACCAGGUGAUCUACCCUUGGUCAGGUUGAAGUUCAGGUAACACUGAAUGGAGGACCGAACCGACUUACGUUGAAAAGUGAGCGGAUGAACUGAGGGUAGCGGAGAAAUUCCAAUCGAACCUGGAGAUAGCUGGUUCUCUCCGAAAUAGCUUUAGGGCUAGCCUCAAGUGAUGAUUAUUGGAGGUAGAGCACUGUUUGGACGAGGGGCCCCUCUCGGGUUACCGAAUUCAGACAAACUCCGAAUGCCAAUUAAUUUAACUUGGGAGUCAGAACAUGGGUGAUAAGGUCCGUGUUCGAAAGGGAAACAGCCCAGACCACCAGCUAAGGUCCCAAAAUAUAUGUUAAGUGGAAAAGGAUGUGGCGUUGCCCAGACAACUAGGAUGUUGGCUUAGAAGCAGCCAUCAUUUAAAGAGUGCGUAAUAGCUCACUAGUCGAGUGACACUGCGCCGAAAAUGUACCGGGGCUAAACAUAUUACCGAAGCUGUGGAUUGUCCUUUGGACAAUGGUAGGAGAGCGUUCUAAGGGCGUUGAAGCAUGAUCGUAAGGACAUGUGGAGCGCUUAGAAGUGAGAAUGCCGGUGUGAGUAGCGAAAGACGGGUGAGAAUCCCGUCCACCGAUUGACUAAGGUUUCCAGAGGAAGGCUCGUCCGCUCUGGGUUAGUCGGGUCCUAAGCUGAGGCCGACAGGCGUAGGCGAUGGAUAACAGGUUGAUAUUCCUGUACCACCUAUAAUCGUUUUAAUCGAUGGGGGGACGCAGUAGGAUAGGCGAAGCGUGCGAUUGGAUUGCACGUCUAAGCAGUAAGGCUGAGUAUUAGGCAAAUCCGGUACUCGUUAAGGCUGAGCUGUGAUGGGGAGAAGACAUUGAGUCUUCGAGUCGUUGAUUUCACACUGCCGAGAAAAGCCUCUAGAUAGAAAAUAGGUGCCCGUACCGCAAACCGACACAGGUAGUCAAGAUGAGAACUCUAAGGUGAGCGAGCGAACUCUCGUUAAGGAACUCGGCAAAAUGACCCCGUAACUUCGGGAGAAGGGGUGCUCUUUAGGGUUAACGCCCAGAAGAGCCGCAGUGAAUAGGCCCAAGCGACUGUUUAUCAAAAACACAGGUCUCUGCUAAACCGUAAGGUGAUGUAUAGGGGCUGACGCCUGCCCGGUGCUGGAAGGUUAAGAGGAGUGGUUAGCUUCUGCGAAGCUACGAAUCGAAGCCCCAGUAAACGGCGGCCGUAACUAUAACGGUCCUAAGGUAGCGAAAUUCCUUGUCGGGUAAGUUCCGACCCGCACGAAAGGCGUAACGAUUUGGGCACUGUCUCAACGAGAGACUCGGUGAAAUCAUAGUACCUGUGAAGAUGCAGGUUACCCGCGACAGGACGGAAAGACCCCGUGGAGCUUUACUGUAGCCUGAUAUUGAAAUUCGGCACAGCUUGUACAGGAUAGGUAGGAGCCUUUGAAACGUGAGCGCUAGCUUACGUGGAGGCGCUGGUGGGAUACUACCCUAGCUGUGUUGGCUUUCUAACCCGCACCACUUAUCGUGGUGGGAGACAGUGUCAAGCGGGCAGUUUGACUGGGGCGGUCGCCUCCUAAAAGGUAACGGAGGCGCUCAAAGGUUCCCUCAGAAUGGUUGGAAAUCAUUCAUAGAGUGUAAAGGCAUAAGGGAGCUUGACUGCGAGACCUACAAGUCGAGCAGGGUCGAAAGACGGACUUAGUGAUCCGGUGGUUCCGCAUGGAAGGGCCAUCGCUCAACGGAUAAAAGCUACCCCGGGGAUAACAGGCUUAUCUCCCCCAAGAGUUCACAUCGACGGGGAGGUUUGGCACCUCGAUGUCGGCUCAUCGCAUCCUGGGGCUGUAGUCGGUCCCAAGGGUUGGGCUGUUCGCCCAUUAAAGCGGUACGCGAGCUGGGUUCAGAACGUCGUGAGACAGUUCGGUCCCUAUCCGUCGUGGGCGUAGGAAAUUUGAGAGGAGCUGUCCUUAGUACGAGAGGACCGGGAUGGACAUACCUCUGGUGUACCAGUUGUCGUGCCAACGGCAUAGCUGGGUAGCUAUGUGUGGACGGGAUAAGUGCUGAAAGCAUCUAAGCAUGAAGCCCCCCUCAAGAUGAGAUUUCCCAACUUCGGUUAUAAGAUCCCUCAAAGAUGAUGAGGUUAAUAGGUUCGAGGUGGAAGCAUGGUGACAUGUGGAGCUGACGAAUACUAAUCGAUCGAAGACUUAAUCAA